AAGACAGAGAGAAGUGUAAAAACUGGGUGAUUUUGUGGAUCGAUCAAUGUUUUUGGAACUGAAAAUUUUCUGGGGAAUUUAUAAAAUGCCUCAAGUUUUGACGUGCACAAAGAUAUGAUAUGCCUUGCAAUGCGGGAGUGCUGUAAGGACACUGGAGAUUGCUUAGCUCAGUAGGAGCUGUGGAAUACCUUUUAUAGGCAGCUGCCACCAGCCUUACCUCCUGCUGCUGACCAAGAGAGCCACUCACAGCAGGGACAGACCUUCCCAGGGAGAAAGGAGCACGUCUGGAGCCCCCAAAUGGCAAAAAUCAGUUAAAGGAAAAAGACCCAAAUUGGUCAUUUGUGUACCAGGGCCAUCGCUUUGCUGCAAGGAAAAGGUCGCAAGGAAAUGGUCACCAGGAAAAUGGUGCCUGCUGUGCUUUAGAUCUGAUAUGUUCCUUCAUUUCUCAGCCCUGUGUUCCCAGCAUAGUCUACAUACUUGAUGCAUAAAGCACCCGCUGAAAUGACUGGGGAAGAGGACUUGUCUUUUUCCUGUUUUGAGAGAAAAUCCUGUUUAUGAAGACUCUUCUUCAUGGAAAUCAAACUGUAUAAUAAAUUCUGCUGUGAAGCAGAGGAGAACUUUGCCUGAAUUCACCCACACCUCAGUUUCCUUGUUCAGGAUGUGCUGAUGAACAAGCAGGUGAGAAUCCAGGGCAGCCAGAGGAAGAGGUGCAAACAGACCAGAGUAAUUUAAAAGUUAGGGAAGUUAUUUGAUCACUCAACUCUCCUGAAUCCACCCAAUGGAACUGCUUAAAGGUUUGAGUGAGUAAUAGGAACAGAGAGAGACAGAGCCAUCUUGUGGAAGAUCACUUCACUAUCGUGCAGUUUGAGUGCCAGGCACUUCAGAAGCUAAUUCUGGAGACCUUAUUUUUGCAAUGAGAGACCUCAAUUACAAGUUCCAGCCUGAGAUGUGCAAAAUGCUGGUAAUGAAGCUGCAAACCAUGUGAAAGCAGAGACAAGAUCCUUUGUGUAGCAGAGAGGGGCUCCCACUUCAAGCAGAAGAAAGAGAGCAGAGGGCAUCUUUCUGAUAAGAGCAGAUGAUAUGGGUCUAGGAAGGUCUGAGCUCUUGAUAAAGUGGAAAUGAAAGUGGUGCCUGAUGUUCCAGCUUCCCCUCCUGAGUUAAGGGGAUGAGCUGCACUUUUCAACCCCUGUAUGAGGUGCCUGUAGCUCAGUUCCCUCUGAAGCUGAUGCCUGUGGGAAUCAGGGAUGUGUGCUCUGACGUGCACAAAAUAGCCCCAGUCUACAGAUGCGUUGUCUCAUUAAGGUUCAUAGAAGACUUGGGAACAGUUAUCAAAGCUUACAAUAUUGACCAGAAUGAUGUCAAGUAAAAAGACUGAAUGAGUUGAAAGCAAAAAUACCCAAGAAAAGGGAGACUGGAAUCAUUAGACUAGCAUCUCAAGAAAAAUAAGAUGCACAACUUUUACCUUUUUACUGACAGGCUCUGAGGAGGUCAAAUCAUUUGGGGUGCUGGUCUCCUGACCAGAACCAGGGUUGUUACAGACACUUCUGGGAAGGGGUCAUGAGAGGAUAAUCCAUUUGAUCCCAGUGACAGGAAGAAGACCAGCAGGACUGGAUACUAGAAAGUGCUAUGUUUAGGAAAGUGGGAAAGCAUCUGAGAAGGAUGGCUGACCACAGACUGGCAAGCACAUUUAAAUGGCUUGGACAGUGGAGUCAGUGAAAGGAACAUUUGACUCAGAACUUCUUCCAGGGAAGACAUUUGCUGCUUCCUUCACACAACCAUAGUCUAUGAUGUGUGUGUCAUCUGUUGAAAUGGCUAUCCCAGGCUCUCUGGGAAUAAGAGGCCCCUUACAGCUUCUGAAGUAUCCAAGAGUGAGCUGUAGGCAUUCCUGUAUGAGCCAGAUGCCCCUGCUGCCCACAGAAGAAAGAAGGGCUGGUCAAAGUCUAACACUGCACUGAUCUGUGCCUUUGGAGCAGUCAAAAAGUCUGUGAUUUGUCCUUAUCUGUACUUGGCUAAAGCAGGUGGGUUUUUUUUUUUUUUGAAUACCACAUGCUGUUUCUGCCUCAGCACCUCUUCACAUCUGUCAAAGUGAUCUUGAGCUCUACUUCCUUCUGCAGGAUCUGCAUCUUCUCCCUCUGUGCUAAGCUGACAGAAUAAGCCUUUGUGGCCUCUGCUCCCAUUUCAAUGGGGCAGAAGUUUGCAGCACUCCAGUUUGUACCAUUCUGGGCUUGAUAUCAUGGGUGAGCAGGUGUGAACAGGCUCUUUGGUUAAGACUGAGAUUGAUGUACAGUAACAACUGUUUAGGUAAUUAAGAGUUUAGAAGAUGUGAUGGCAAGUUUAGGAUAUAAAACUCUAUUCCAUGGAAAAGAAGGGUGAAGAUAUGACAACUGCCCUCUGAAUGCUGAAAGGUGUUUAAGAAAAAGUAUCUUACCUUUUGUAUGCUCAAUCAUCAUUUGUCACUGCCUAAAAGAAAGCCAGUUUACACUAGAUGCCUGCCUAGGUUUUAGGUAGCUAAUGUAAGGAGAGAUGAAUCCCAUCAUUAUCAGAGAAUAGUUUAAUUCAGUAACCACUAGAUAAAGGUUAGGCCUUUAGAAAUCCACUAUGAACUCCAUAGAUCACUUGUGAGUUCAAGAGAAAUUGAGAAUCUUUUCAGAGCCUGGGUGUGUUGCCUUUAUGACUGUUCUCACCUCACCUGCUGCUUGCUGUGUUAUUGCAGCAGCCUGGAAGGCAGCUUUCCUUACACUGCCUGAACAAUGACUGUGAAUGUUCCUCAGGUAUAUUAAUUCUUCAGAAGAGAGACCAUCCUUAACAGAAGAAUGUAAUGCUCUGCUUCCUUAUAAUUUGCUAGGCACAUAAGUUCUUUCUGAAAAUGUUCUUGUUUAUGAUUUUGGUUUUUAAUUAACUUAAUAUUUUAGCAAAAACUCAUAGAAUCAUUCCUAGCUGUAAACUGCCAAUGCAGUUUGGGCAUCUUAUCUGCCAUCUCCACAGCAGUGUGUACUCGAGCAUCAUUGACACUUCAAUUUCUCUAUUCUGCUUAAUGGAAAAUUAGUAUCCCAGAUACUUAAUCUGCUCUUUGAAUGGUUAUGCUUUCAUACCACUCAACAUUAAUGCAGAAAAACAACUAUCAAAGUGAAAAUCAUGAUAUCUUAGAGCUGGGAGAUGUGUAACUCCUUCACAGGCUUUUUGAUACAGAGCCUCCAGUCAUUUGUAGUGCACAUUAGCUUCAACCCUUGGUUGGCAAAAGUGUAGCAAAAAUUGCCCAGCUCUUCUGCCCUGGGUGUUUUACAUUAUCCGAAAGGUUGUAACCUCAGACCAUUUUUGAAAGCGGUAAAUAUUCAAAGUAUGGUGCCUCAUUGUAUCUCUUUGUUGAGAAAAGCAAUGUUCUUAGUACUGAUCUUCCCUUGAGCUGCCCCUUGAGUAGGGAGCCAGAUUCAUUCUUGGGGUACUUGGACUGGGUAGCUUGAAGUGAACAGUCUUCAGGCUCAGUGACUACUAUUGCCAGUGUAGAAAGCCAAAUUACAUCAAAAAUCAAAGAUUCAAGCAGAAGUAGAGGGCUCAUUUGUAAAAGAGCCAAGUUAAAAGGUUCUAAUAGUUUGUAGGAUGCCUAAUUAUUGAAGUUAUGCAAAUAAAAUCUUUUGAUUUUUCCUUGUAGUCCUACCACGUUGUUCCAUUGGGAUCUGUCUUGACUUAAUGUACAGAAAAUAAACAAAA